rnacentral:rRNA from 1 species
UUCUAACUUUUACUUGAAUAGCCGCCCUUCGGGCGGCUAUCAGGCCGCCGUAGGCCUAAUUAUACUUAUAUUGUAAGACAGUUAUUAUAAAUUUAAGUAAAUAUUAAAUAAGGUAACUUAGAAAUAUAAUAUGUCCUAGUAAUAGUCCUAUGAGGUAUCAGCAGGCUGUAAAUAUUCAUAUAUGAAAUCCAGUAAAAUAAAUAAGAUAUAUUAAACCCGUUAAGAAGUGGGGUGGGGUUAUAUAUAUUGUCUAAAUAUGGGGGUAUUUAAAUAAAACUAAAUCUUAACUAGCUAUAUUUAGAUAAAAAAAAUAUAAGAGUUUAUAAUAUAGGUGAUAUAUUGAAAAAAGGUAUAUGUUAAAAAUGUUAAUUUAUGAAUUAUUAGACUAAUUCUUAUAUAAGAUAUAACGACUUAUUGUCAAUCUUAAACAUGAAAAUGAAAAAAGUAAAAACAAGAGGAAUGAAACAUCUGAGUAACUUGUAAUUAAACCAACAGGGAUGAUAUUAGUAACGGUGAGUGAAAAUAUCAGUAUCUUUAAUUAAUACUAAGAAGUAUGAAUAAAGUAGUAUCCAACUACUAAGAUAAAAAGUAAGAAUUAAGAGUAAAGUACCGUAAGGGAAAAAUAAGAAAUAGAUUAACAGAGAGUAGUUAUAGUAUAGCGUACCUUUUGUAUAAUGGGCCAGUGAGUUAUUAGAUUUAGUGAAAUUAUUAAUUAAAUUGAAAAAGAUAACAACCCCUCUCCUAAAAAAAGGAGGAGGGUUUACCAGGGGGCUACGCCCCUUUAUAUUGCUAUUUUAGUAAUAUUUUCACCGACUCUAUCAGAGUCGGCGUGAAAUUAAAUUUAAUAAGCCCGAAAGCAGACGAUCUAUUCAUUUACAAGUGUUGAUAAUAUAAAUUAUCAAUGACUCAAUAAGUGGUUGUAGCAAUAACCUUUAAAGAUAAAUGAAUUGAAGUGAAAGACAAAUCUGGUUUGCCGAUAGCUGGUUUUCUGCGAAAUAUAUAUUAGUAUAGCCUUUAUUUUAUCUUCUCAUAAAUUGUGAGGGAUGAAUUUAAACUGGUACAGCACUUAAAUACAUUUGGGGGAUUUAUUGAAUUCUAUCAAAGUAUUUUAAUCUCGGAAUCAGUUAAUAAUAAAAUAAGGAGUCAGACUUAUUGCGAUAAGGUAGUAGGUCGAGAGGGAAACAACCCAGACUAUUAAGUGAAAGUCCCAAAUAAUAACUAAGUGAACAUAAUCUAUACGAUAAAAAUAUCUGAUUUCAGAAUAUAGACAAUUAGUAUGUGGGUUUGACAAUAACCAUCAUUUAAUGAACAUGUAACAAUGCACUAAUUUGAUAUAUAGAAUCCAUCACUUUGUGGGGAUAACUAUUUACUGAUAAUAGAGCUAAUUCACGGGUCUAAGUAUUAAACUGAACUAUAGAUAAGAUAAUAUAUCUUAUAGUAGCGGAAUAUAGAAUGAAAAAAAUUCUAAAGAUAUUGCUGGCUUGAGUAACGAUAGAUAAUAUAAUAUUAUCCUCCUUAAAUCAUAAGGUUUUACUACAAACGAACGGUCCCUAAGAUGAAAAUAGAACUAUUUAAUCGAUGGGUGUUAAGACAAGUAAAAUAAAAUUAAACCGUACUGUAAACCGACACAGGUAUGAUAUAAAUAGGAGAAUGGGAUAACUACUUUGAAUGAACUCGGCAAAUGACUAAAAACGUCAACGGCGUGCGACUGUUUACCAAAAACAAAGCCUAUUGCAUAUUAGAAAUAAUUAGUAUAAUAGGUGGAAUCUGCCCAGUGCUUCUUUAAUAAAAUAUUUACUAUAAAAGGUGAAUUAUUAAUGAGAGGUUAACGGCGGUCUUAUCGUGAGGAUCCUAAGGUAGCGAAAUUCCUAGGCGUAUAAUUGACGUCCCGCAUGAAUGAAUGAACGAUGCGCCGGCUGUAUCCAAAGUAGACCCAGUGAAAUAACAAUUACGGUGAAGAUGCCGAAUAGCUGUAGAUUGACAAAAAGACCCUAUGCAGCUUUACUAUAGUUUUAUUUUGACUAUUAUUUUAUAUUAUUUCAGAUUAGAUUAGGUGAUAUUCAGUUUUAUCCUUAUCUUAAUAAAGAUUAAAGUAUAAAUAGCCCAUUACGAGCUAAAUGAAUCAAAUGAGAUACCUAUAUAAUAUAAAAUAUUGUCUAAUUUAAGAAUAUAUCAUAUUUGAUCUUAAAGACCGAGUAAAAUGGUUAGUUUCGAUGGGGCGUCGACUUCAGACAACACAUCUGAUGUGUCUAAUAAUUAAUAGAAUUUAAUUAAAUUUUUUAUUUAAUAGUAUAUUACGUACAAUAGAACUAUAUGGUAAAUAGUGAUAGCUUAUAAUGAUAGGGGUAAUACCAUUCAUUAAUAAGCGUAAUUAUUGAUGGCCAGGCUUUGUCCUGUCAUCCCUGACUCGAUCGGGAAUUUUAAAAGGUUAAUAGUUAAUAAUGCAAGGAUAACAACAUAAUUGUGCAAUGAUAAUGACACUAACAAGUGAAAUUAGUACUUACGUAGAGUGUAGAGAACAGGCAUAAUCAAAUGGUAUGGAUGUCGAUAACGAAUUAAAGUUACGCUAGGGAUAACAGGGUAAUACUGCGUGAGAGUAGAUAUCGUCAGCAGUGUUUGCCACCUCGAUUAAAUAACGAUAGUCGAGAAUAAAUGGAGUUAAUUGCAUGAAACCUAAGGUAUAUAUAUAUUUAUAUAUUAUGGUGAUUUGCAGCGAAGUUUAUUAUAUAUGAAUAUAAAGUAAUAACCCCCGGCUUGCCGGGUCCCCCCCCCCCCCCUAACUUCGUUAGUGGGGGGGGGGGAACUAAAGGAUAAUAUUUUAUUUUAUGUUAAGUAAUAAAAACGUUCAACGACUAGUAAAUGAGUAAUAUAACAAUAAUUUUACCACGAAAGCUCCAAGUUGUAUACAAAAAUAU